CUCUGUAUGCUGUGUGGGAGCGUUUCAACCGUUUUAUAGUAGAAACUGGAUUCAUUGGCAUUACCUUUCACAGCCUGUGUCUACGAGGACGUCUCGGAAGUCACUGGACUGCUCCCAGUUUGACCAGCAAGCUGAACCCUGCCUGUGGCCAGUGUUCCCAGUAUAAUAUACAUAAAUAAAUCUGUGUUUUAUUGCACACUUUUA